rnacentral:lncRNA from 1 species
AAAUGGCAGCGGUUUGACUCCAAAGAAGCCAUUUCUUGUCCACAGGGCCCUCUGAUGAUGGCUGGAGAUCUGGUCCCAGGGCAGCUCUCUGCAUGAUGCUUUACUACACCGGCCCUGUCCAUGGUGCUGCUCCACAUUCUCCAGGACCGGGGACCCUCUGCAUCCAGCACCUAGCUGGGGAAAUAUGUGGACAUUAAGGCAGAAGAGAGUGACCAAACUGAACCCCAAAGUUCAAUCAAGAGUACUCAUCAUCCUUCCUCAUUAUAAUAAAUCUUGACCAGAAUAAUGGAG